rnacentral:rRNA from 1 species
AUUGAACGCUGGCGGCAUGCCUUACACAUGCAAGUCGAACGGCAGCACGGGAGCAAUCCUGGUGGCGAGUGGCGAACGGGUGAGUAAUAUAUCGGAACGUGCCCAGUCGUGGGGAUAACGUAGCGAAAGCUACGCUAAUACCGCAUACGAUCUAUGGAUGAAAGCGGGGGAUCGCAAGACCUCGCGCGAUUGGAGCGGCCGAUAUCAGAUUAGGUAGUUGGUGAGGUAAAGGCUCACCAAGCCGACGAUCUGUAGCUGGUCUGAGAGGACGACCAGCCACACUGGGACUGAGACACGGCCCAGACUCCUACGGGAGGCAGCAGUGGGGGAAUUUUUGGGACAAUGGGCGCAAGCCUGAUCCAGCAAUGCCGCGUGCAGGAUGAAGGCCUUGGUU